rnacentral:rRNA from 1 species
UACGGAGGAUGCAAGCGUUAUCCGGAAUGAUUGGGCGUAAAGCGUCCGCAGGUGGCUAUGUAAGUCUGCUGUUAAAGAGUCUAGCUCAACUAGAUAAGAGCAGUGGAAACUACAAGGCUAGAGUACGUUCGGGGCAGAGGGAAUUCCUGGUGUAGCGGUGAAAUGCGUAGAGAUCAGGAAGAACACCAGUGGCGAAGGCGCUCUGCUAGGCCGCAACUGACACUGAGGGACGAAAGCUAGGGGAGCGAAUGGG